UACAGAGGUCCCGAGCGUUGUUCGGAUUCACUGGGCGUAAAGGGUGCGCAGGUGGCAUGGUAAGUUUGAUGUGAAAGCUCAGGGCUUAACCCUGCAAUGGCAUUGAAUACUACUGUGCUGGAGGUUUGGAGGGGGGACUGGAAUUCUUGGUGUAGCAGUGAAAUGCGUAGAUAUCAAGAGGAACACCAGUGGCGAAGGCGAGUCCCUGGACAACACCUGACACUGAGGCACGAAAGCUAGGGGAGCAAACAGG
rnacentral:rRNA from 1 species